rnacentral:rRNA from 1 species
AUGGGGAAGUACAUGCGCAAGUGCAGGGCGGAGGACGGCGCGGUGGGCGGCGUGGAGGUCACGCAGGCCGUCGGCGUCCGCACCCGGUCCCGCGCGGCCGCGGCCAACGUCGUCGUCUCCAAGAGGAGGCGCCCGCUGCCGCCCGGCUCGCCGUCGGCCUCGUCGUCCCUCGCUCGCGCCCAGGGCGGGAGCUGCUACCUGAAGCUGCGGAGCCGCAUGCUGUUCAUGGCCCCGCCGGCGCCCGCAUCGGGGGCUGCCGCCGGGCACGGGCCGGCGCCGCCGCUCCCGGCCGGCCUGUCGCGCUGCUCCAGCACGGCGUCGUCCGUGGACGCGUCGGCCGCGGCGCAGGACAGGAGCCUGCCCUCGUGCGGCUCCGACGCCGCUGCCAACAACAAGGCAGGCGCCCCGGAGGGCUCGGCGAGCAACAACGCGGAGAGCGGCGGCAACCGCGAGAGGCGAGAGACGACGCCGUCCAGCCAUUUCCCCGGCGACCUGAGCGACCUGGAGUCGGAUCUGGCGGGGCAGAACAGCGGCCGGUCGUCGCUGCCGCAAACGCCGACCGCCCAGGCCCAGCCCGCCGCGAGGUCGAGGGUCCCGCCGGCGGCCGAGAUCGAGGAGUUCUUCGCGGCCGCCGAGGAGGCCGAGGCCAGGCGGUUCGCUUGCAAGUACAACUUCGACGUGGCCCGCGGCGUGCCGCUCGACUCCGGCCGGUACGAGUGGACCCCGGCGGUGAGCAGCAGCUAG